GUUUGUAUUGUGGCGAGUAGACGAGCAAGUGAUUGAGGAUCCAGGUGUUCAGCAGGUAGAAGUUGCUGAGCAGGAGCUCAUUGAAGGCAAGUUGUGCCCUUGACCACUUUUAUUUACCCAAUAAUGUUCUUUAUAAUCAUUUUGGCAUGCAUAGGCUUAAUUUUGAUGGAACCCAAUAGGUCACCCUAGUUUGGUAAUCUUUACACCUUGUUUAUCCCUGAACUUUUGUGUAGUCUUUGUUAUUGCUAUAUAUGGUUUUGGGUGUUGAGAUACUUAUUACAUAUGGUCAUUCUUUAUUAUUAUUAUUGUUCUAUUUCUGUUCAUGAUAAGACUAUUAUGUUAAUUGGAACAUGGAGCUUAACUUGAGAAACACGUACCACCACAAGGCUUGAAUGGGAUGCCAUUGGCUGACUAAUUAGGAAAGCUAGUGGAGGUCUACCUUACCCGAAAGGGGCAAGGGCAGUAGGGGAGUUGGCGUGUAGGGAGGUUCUCGGGUUGAUUUUGCUGUGAUGGCGGUCAGACGGGGGAUUCCUGCAUUGAGCUUCCUGGAAACUGUAGUGGGUUUUCCGAAGCUAGUGGAACUUUGUAAAGGCCUCGUAGCGUUACCUUGCCUCGCUUCCUUGGUAGAGGUGUAUGGGGUCCAUACAACCCCGUGGCAGAUGGGUAACAUGACUUGUGGGUACAUGGUACAACCUCUGUAGAGUGUAAAACUAGUAUACUAGCCAUGCUCACGGUCAUGAGCAGCUCAGGACUCUCGCAUGAUUAACUUAUGGAAUUAAAUUCAAUUUGUCAUUUGCAUCACAUUUUGGUUUAUUAUUAAUUUUGAUCUAUUAUUACUUUGGUUUGGUAUCUACUUACAUUUAGUAACUGCUAAUAAAAUUUGACCAACUUAUUAAAAGCAAUGCUCAGCUUUAACCCUUAUUUCUUGAUCAGCCUUACACUUCACAUGAACUCUCACCUUUGGUGAGUUCAUGCACAUUAUUCCCCACAACUUGUUGAGCUAUGAUAUUUUGUGAGCUCACCCUUGCGAUAUAUAAUCCCCCCCCACAUGAGAAGAACAGGUGCUCCAGAAGGAGCCCUACAAUGAGGAGUACGAGCUUAUCUAGGUGGCGUCUCCCAGUCAGCUUUAUGGCGCCAAGGAUUAAUAUUUAGUUCACUUUACUGUUAUCAUUUAUUUAUGUAAGACUUCCGCUAUGUAAUAAUGAUAUUUGUGACAUUUAUCUCUAUACACUUUGUCAUUAUAUGUGAUGUUCUUCUUUGGCGCACAUAUGAGACACACCC
rnacentral:lncRNA from 1 species